AUGCGUUGUUGGGUAGGGGAGCGUUCUGUAAGCCUGCGAAGGUGUGCUGUGAGGCAUGCUGGAGGUAUCAGAAGUGCGAAUGCUGACAUAAGUAACGAUAAAGCGGGUGAAAAGCCCGCUCGCCGGAAGACCAAGGGUUCCUGUCCAACGUUAAUCGGGGCAGGGUGAGUCGACCCCUAAGGCGAGGCCGAAAGGCGUAGUCGAUGGGAAACAGGUUAAUAUUCCUGUACUUGGUGUUACUGCGAAGGGGGGACGGAGAAGGCUAUGUUGGCCGGGCGACGGUUGUCCCGGUUUAAGCGUGUAGGCUGGUUUUCCAGGCAAAUCCGGAAAAUCAAGGCUGAGGCGUGAUGACGAGGCACUACGGUGCUGAAGCAACAAAUGCCCUGCUUCCAGGAAAAGCCUCUAAGCAUCAGGUAACAUCAAAUCGUACCCCAAACCGACACAGGUGGUCAGGUAGAGAAUACCAAGGCGCUUGAGAGAACUCGGGUGAAGGAACUAGGCAAAAUGGUGCCGUAACU
rnacentral:rRNA from 1 species